ncrna:unclassified sequences DTF3800-VIII RNA
CGCGUCCUGCGCCGGUCGAAGCCCUGCGUUCCUACGCGGGGUGUUUUCAUAGGCCGGGCGGGAUGCG